UGGGCUUCAGGAAACGUGAAUACUUGGGGUCUUGAAAGACCCAGGGUUGUCUAAGAUCUACAAAUGAUGGAGGCUGUGACCAAGUAUUGGUAGGUCCCCAACGGUGUCUUGAGCUUUCACCUUAAAGUCCUGCUCACAGCAUCUUCCUUUUGUGGAGGAUAUUACAACUUGAGGUUGUUUUUCACGUGCCUCAUCUCAUUUCAUGGUUACAAAACGACAUGAAGUCGAAAAGGACACAGCAUCCGUCUGUGUUUUCAAGAUGAGGCUCCUGAGGUUGGCCUGACGUCGUUGGUGACACUCCAGUCCUAGAACAAUUUCCCUGAGUCCUGGUUCCGUGCUUUCCCUACUCCCCCAAAUACAGAGGGAGACCAAGGGGAAGGAGCACUUGUCCUCUUUAUUUCGAAAAGGAAGAAACGAUAGAAAAUCAGACAAAGUAGAUACACGCUGGGAGGAUCAGUCGGCAAGGAGAAUAAUCAUGUGUCCAUAGUCUGAAUUGUUUUGACUGUGAUCUUCCAGAUAAGUUUUAAAAUCACUUUGUAAAUUUGUGUGAGAACUGAUUGGGAGAGCAUUGGAUUUAUCGACUGCCUUGGAGAAAAACGGCAUCUUUAUGAACUGGGGUUCUCAUCCAGAGCAGCUGCCUUGUCAUUAGAGCACUAAUCGGCGCUAUGGAGAGGUCCAGGCUCAGGUCCAGGGGAACUGAGGCUUCCUGCCAGCAGCCGACGGGGAACUUCCGUCCAAGCCUCGCGAGCGAGCCGGCGUGGAAGGGGAUUCUCCAGGCCUGUCAAGGUGUCCGGUCACGAUGGCGCCCGUCAGUGUCCCGACAGCACGAGAGGAUGGUGGCUGGAACCACCAGCUAAGCUCCAUCCACGUUUCUGACCGCAAAUGAGCUUUAAACAGGGGAAGGUGUGGGGAUAGAGCAGGAUCGCUGAGGCCCCUGAAGCCUGUACCUCUGAUCCCCAAACCCUCAAGGCCUGAGACUCAAAGGGCUCCCCAGAUGCCCAAGGUGAGGGGGAGUGGGAUACCAGCUGGUUUGAUUUUAAUAUGCCUCCCUCACCUUCUCCUACCUCACUCCUGCUCCAUCCUAAAAAUCACUCUUCUAAUGCACAAAGUUAAGCACAAGCCUUCUGUGCUGAAAAUGGCAUCCCAUUAAAUCUUUCGGAAUUUGCCAACAACCCAAUGGAAAAAUGGGCAAAAUACCUGAAUAGAUGUUUCUC